AUUACUCUGAUAUAGGCUUCCGACACGCUCUUCGCCUCCAAGCACCUCCAUAACACCUCCUUUGGGACCUUGUCAUACGCCUUCUCCAAGUCGAUAAGCACCAUGUGCAGGUCCUUCUUCUUAUCCCUGAACUGCUCCACCAGCCACUAAGACACUAACUUUGAUUUUGAUAAAAGAUAUGUUUAAACCAGAUAAGUUGAUCCAAAUAAAAAAUGCCCAUAUAGUAACCAAACAUUCUGGUGACAAUAUUGAGCUUUUAGUAUGUCUGGAACGAAGAGGCUGUAUAUGAUUAUGAAUAUAUAAUAUACUUGGACAUUUUGGCCUACUUUCUAUGUCGUUUUCACUUUAAGUGAUACGUUUGUUAUGACAAGCUAACAAUGUAGAUCAGAAUGCAAUAGUUCUGCAAUUCUGUUUUGAGUGAUUGACUGUCUUUCGGCGGUUAUUUCUCUUUUUGUGCAGUUGAUUUCAG
rnacentral:lncRNA from 1 species